CUGCGGCCUCACGUUGUCUGAUGUCCAGGGCGUUUCAAACCAACGCUCCACAUUUCAUCAUUUUGGGUUUUCCUUGUUGUUUCAGACAGGAAGGCACUUCUCAUGCCUGUGACUGUUUUGGUGACAGUGGAAGUCCCCUCCACUUCCAGGUUUUCGGCCCUCUCUGGCCCUUGGUAGAAGUGACUUCAGUUUCCCCUGGAUGGGCAUCAGUGACUCCCGAUGGUAAAAGCGCUCUGCCUGUAAUGAGCCUCCAAGCUUUACCCUGGAGCCUGGGGGGCCCGAGGAAGAAACCGAGGCAUCGCCUGGGGGUAAAACAAGAAGCAGCUCGAGGAUUCAGUAGUCAGCCAACACUGGUGAGUGAAUCAACA
rnacentral:lncRNA from 1 species